rnacentral:rRNA from 1 species
ACUGAACGCUGGCGGAAUGCUUUACACAUGCAAGUCGAACGGCAGCACGGGGGCAACCCUGGUGGCGAGUGGCGAACGGGUGAGUAAUACAUCGGAACGUGCCCAGUCGUGGGGGAUAACGUAGCGAAAGUUACGCUAAUACCGCAUACGAUCUACGGAUGAAAGCGGGGGACCGUAAGGCCUCGCGCGAUUGGAGCGGCCGAUGUCAGAUUAGGUAGUUGGUGAGGUAAAGGCUCACCAAGCCGACGAUCUGUAGCUGGUCUGAGAGGACGACCAUCCACACUGGGACUGAGACACGGCCCAGACUCCUACGGGAGGCAGCAGUGGGGAAUUUUGGACAAUGGACGCAAGCCUGAUCCAGCCAUUCCGCGUGCAGGACGAAGGCCUUCGGGUUGUAAACUGCUUUUGUACGGAACGAAAAGGCUCUGGUUAAUACCUGGGGCUCAUGACGGUACCGUAAGAAUAAGCACCGGCUAACUACGUGCCAGCCGCCGCGGUAA